UUGCUUCCUUUGCAUCCAAGGAUAGACCCUUCUCUUCACACUCAGCUUGGGAAACAUACACUUUUCGCUGUCCCAGGGGCAAGCCAGGGUUUCUCUUGAUCUGAUCUUCAGCGGAAGAAAAUUAGUCCAGGAUGAGUUUAUUUUUCCAAACCUCUCUGGUGCCUAACACAGUACAGCUGUCCCAGCGAGCCCAUACUGUCAAGAGGGAAUUUACAGUGUGCCAGGCUCUGGGCUAAAUACCUUCUAUACACCCAAUUUAAACAUCACAAAACCCCCAUAAGAUUUUGCAGAAGAAAGGAAGAGCCCUUCAUUUUGAAGUGUAAUGAGAGGAUGGAAUCGCAAAAUAGAAAACACAGGCAUGAAUAUGGAUACAGCUCUCCAUACGGCCCUGCUGACUAGAAAAUGACAAGGAAAAGGCUAUCAUGGCUUCUAUUACAAAGGUGAUGGGCUGGAUGUAAUUAGGGAUUAAUCUGAAAUUUCUAGUACAUACCCAGUGUCUCAGGAGCUUGACAAACUGCCAUCUCUCCAAGAUCCCCAGGAGGAGCAGUGUGGCUGGCUUAAUCAGGGAGGGGGCGAUGGGGGUGGGGGGCUGCCCAUAGCAAGCCACUUAUCACAGUACUAAUGAACAGGGAGGCCUUCCAAGGGGGGAACUGGAGUGGUGGUGUCACUUUCCCUUUGUUGUGUGCACAUUAGCUGGCAUCUCUGCAGGGGCGGUGACUUGUCAGCAAGGAGACACGUUGCUAGGUAACCGGGGAAUAUGAGGGAAGCCCCCUCCCCCAUCCCCAGGGAAGCAGAGUGCCAAGGGGGCUCUGAGAAGGAUUUGGUGGUUAAAAACAAACAA
rnacentral:lncRNA from 1 species